AUGAAUCUGGCCGUGGACGAGAUGUUCCCCGAGGGCGCCGGGCCUUAUGUGGACCUGGAGGAGGCAGAAGGCAGCACAAGGCUCUUAAUGGACUUGGCAGCCAAUGAAAAGGCCUUUCAUGCAGACUUUUUAAAUGAUUUUGAAGAUCUUUUUGAUGAUGAUGACAUCCAGUGAGAUGACCUCUGGCUGUAGGUGGGGUCAGGCCCUUGGUACAGAGUUGCGGUGUGAGCCUGCGCAGGACAGUUUCAGGUGGUUUUAAAGAACACGUGGAAAUCCCUUGAAUUUAGGACCUGGUUAAGCAAGAAAGAUAAGAAUGUUCUUCACCACCUAGAUGAGGCUGUUCAUCUCCGAACAUGACCAGGUUUUGUCCUCACUCCAACUAAAAGAAAGCA